rnacentral:rRNA from 1 species
UACAUGGGGUGCAAACGUUGCUCGGAAUUAUUGGGCGUAAAGCGCACGUAGGCGGUUUGUUAAGUCGGAUGUGAAAUCCCUCGGCUCAACUGAGGAAGUGCAUCCGAAACUGGCAAGCUUGAGUACGAAAGAGGGUCGCGGAAUUCCCGGUGUAGAGGUGAAAUGCGCAGAUAUCAGGAGGAACACCGAUUGCGAAGGCAGCUCGCUGGAACGUUACUGACGCUGAGACGCGAAAGCGUGGGGAGCAAACAGG